AUGGCAGAAUAUCUCCAUUUGGAUUCUUCCUUCAUAACCCUGUUGCAAUACAGAAAUCCGGUACACAGAGGCUUGCAGGACUUAACAAUACUGGCUGAAGACACUGGAUGCAUCAGCUGCAUGGUGAACCAUUAUGUAGGACUCUCCUGGCCUGUGAAGUGUGGAGGGUUUGUUGUGCUCCAACAAUUCAUUCAAGUGCUACAACACAACGCUGAUUCACAUCACCUCUCACAGCUGCUAGGAUAUGAAAUUGCAGGCUGGAGAAUACUUAAGAGAGGUGGCUAUGAAAGAAAAUCUCCAAGAAGACAACGUAGGUGGCUAAUGAUCACACCAACACCUACACUGGAACCAAUCAGAAUUACACAGAGACCAACUGGAAGAGACACUCCCACUCCUUUGGCCUCUGCUGUGCUCAGCAGCUUACUCACAGAGCUUGUGCUAUCACCUGUUCAGAGUUUAGCAUCUUUAUAUGAUGAGAGUAUAACAAUUGCAAGUUACAAGAUGCAGAAUAAUAUCCAUCUGAGAAGUCAAGAAAGUUUAGUGACCUUAGAAAUAGACUCAUUGUGGGACUUGAUGACUAACCCACCAGUAUCUUUUAUUUUUGGAGACUCUUCUAACUCUCCAGAUCUUUCACCUUCACUGAUUAUUAAAACAUUUCCCUCCACUGAACUGGAAGUGCUGCCAACUAGGGCUUCUGGCAUGUCCUUGCUGUUAGAGCAGCCAGAGCCUCAUGUGCCUGAGACAGACUUAUACUUCCUGCCUGGUAAAUCAGAAGUAUCCAGAUUCUUUCUCCUACAGGACAUCACUUCAAACACAGUCCAGUUUCCCAGGCCUGUGUACGCUUUGAUGAUAAGCACAUUUUACGAAUGGCCUUACAGCUCAGCCGAGGCAAUGCCUUCCAAGACAGAAUUUCACGUACCUUUGCCAGAAACAAUGUCAAUGUCAGAAGUGCCAAGUUACAGUGAUCAGGAGAAAAGCCACUUUCCAGAAUUUAAAAUGCUUUCUACUGCAUCCCUCUCUCCAGAAACAUUACCAUUAGUAUUCCCAAAUAGUUCAGUAAGAGCAACAGCUUCAUCUGAUUUCACAUUUCCCAUGGAUGACAUGUUUCUACUUUUGCCAGGAAGUAGUCUAAGCCAAGAGUUAAUUAAUGUCCAUGAACAGUUAUCUAGGUCUUUUAUGACUAUCCCACAGCCUGACAGACUUCCGUUUACUGAAGGAAAAAGCACAGUUCCCUCCGUAAUCCAAACGGAAACACAGACUCUCUAUCCCAAAAUGAAUUUCAGUCCUGUGUCCUCAGUAUGUUUUUCUAACAUUUUAUACAACGCUUUCCCUAAUGAAGCUGAAACAUCUUAUGAACCAACUCUGAUAACUGUCCCGUCCUGA
rnacentral:lncRNA from 1 species